UUACUGGGCGUAAAGCGGGCGCAGACGGUUACUUAAGCAGGAUGUGAAAUCCCCGGGCUCAACCUGGGAACUGCGUUCUGAACUAGGUGACUAGAGUGUGUCAGAGGGAGGUAGAAUCCCACGUGUAGCAGUGAAAUGCGUAGAGAUGUGGAGGAAUACCGAUGGCGAAGGCAGCCUCCUGGGAUAACACUGACGUUCAUGCCCGAAAGCGUGGGUAGCAAACAGGAUUAGAUACCCUGGUAGUCCACGCCCUAAACGAUGUCGAUUAGCUGUUGGGCAGCUUGACUGCUUAGUAGCGAAGCUAACGCGUGAAAUCGACCGCCUGGGGAGUACGGUCGCAAGAUUAAAACUCAAAGGAAUUGACGGGGACCCGCACAAGCGGUGGAUGAUGUGGAUUAAUUCGAUGCAACGCGAAGAACCUUACCUGGUCUUGACAUGUACGGAACCCUCCAGAGACGGAGGGGUGCCUUCGGGAGCCGUAACACAGGUGCUGCAUGGCUGUCGUCAGCUCGUGUCGUGAGAAG
rnacentral:rRNA from 1 species